GUAAACAUCUAUGCAACACCAAACGUCAAACGAAAAUGGGGCGUAUAAUGCCAAUUUUGGGCAAAUAAAGAGGUCGAGGACCCCUUACCCGAAGUGUUUUCUGCAUCCCCGAUGUCAAGCUACGCUCAUGGGCCGUGAUUGCAUAGCAAUUUGUAUGCAAGUCGGGACACGAAUUUCACUUUGAGGUUCACCCGAAGCCACACCGUGUAAACGGAAAACCGUAGGAGAACAUGGGAAAAAUUGCCGAAGAAUUCCAUCGACAUAGGUAUGCAGCACAGGAAACCAACCAACUCGGCCAAGGCAAAACCAGCUCUUGGGCCAAAAAUUGAAGAGGAAUGCACGAGAGGACGUCGCUACCCAAGUAGGGAUCCAA
rnacentral:misc_RNA from 1 species